rnacentral:tRNA from 1 species
GUGGCUAUAGCUCAGUUGGUUAGAGCGCUGGUUUGUGGUACCGGAGGCCGUGGGUUCAAAUCCCAUUAGCCACCCCA